UACGAAGGGGGCUAGCGUUGCUCGGAAUCACUGGGCGUAAAGCGCACGUAGGCGGAUUGCUAAGUCAGGGGUGAAAUCCUGGAGCUCAACUCCAGAACUGCCUUUGAUACUGAGGAUCUUGAGUUCGGGAGAGGUGAGUGGAACUGCGAGUGUAGGGGUGAAAUUCGUAGAUAUUCGCAAGAACACCAGUGGCGAAGGCGGCUCACUGGCCCGAUACUGACGCUGAGGCACGAAAGCGUGGGGAGCAAACAGG
rnacentral:rRNA from 1 species